AUGGUUGGUGGUGAUCUGGUUGCGUCGGGAAGGGUCGGAGUCUCCCUGCCAUUCGCGAAGGCGCAGUACACUGCGUGUCAGUGUAUGGAGCUUCAGCGGUCUGAGCUUGCUGGUCGCGAUUGGGGAGGACGGGACCAUGUGUGGCGACCAUUGUUGAUGGAAGACCGGAGUUCGAAUCCGGUGGUGGAGCGCAAAGUUGGUCGGUUACAGAGAUGA